UUAAAUUUUAGAUUAUUAGUAUUAAUUACCUUAGGGAUAACAGCAUAAUUUUUUUUUGAAGAUCAUAUUUAUAAAAAAGAUUAUGACCUCGAUGUUGAAUUAAGAUAAUAUUUUGGUGCAGAAUUUAAAAUAUAAAGUCUGUUCGA
rnacentral:rRNA from 1 species